GACGAACGCUGGCGGCGUGCUUAACACAUGCAAGUCGAACGGAAAGGCCCUGCUUUUGCGGGGUGCUCGAGUGGCGAACGGGUGAGUAACACGUGAGUAACCUGCCCUUGACUUUGGGAUAACUUCAGGAAACUGGGGCUAAUACCGGAUAGGAGCUACUGCUGCAUGGUGGGGGUUGGAAAGUUUCGGCGGUUGGGGAUGGACUCGCGGCUUAUCAGCUUGUUGGUGGGGUAGUGGCUUACCAAGGCUUUGAAGGGUAGCCGGCCUGAGAGGGUGACCGGCCACAUUGGGACUGAGAGACGGCCCGGACUCCUACGGGAGGCAGCAGUGGGGAAUAUUGCACAAUGGGCGGAAGCCUGAUGCAGCAACGCCGCGUGCGGGAUGACGGCCUUCGGGUUGUAAACCGCUUUCGCCUGUGACGAAGCGUGAGUGACGGUAAUGGGUAAAGAAGCACCGGCUAACUACGUG
rnacentral:rRNA from 1 species